rnacentral:rRNA from 1 species
UACAGAGGGUGCAAGCGUUAAUCGGAAUUACUGGGCGUAAAGCGUGCGUAGACGGUUACAUAAGGCGGGUGUGAAAGCCCCGGGCUCAACCUGGGAAUUGCAUUCGAGACUGCGUAGCUAGGGUGCGGAAGAGGGGAGCGGAAUUUCCGGUGUAGCGGUGAAAUGCGUAGAUAUCGGAAGGAACACCAGUGGCGAAAGCGGCUUCCUGGUCCAGCACCGACGUUCAGGCACGAAAGCGUGGGGAGCAAACAGG